UACGUAGGCGGAAAAUUAAGUCAGUAGUGAAAUCCUGCAGCUUAACUGUAGAACUGUUAUUGAUACUGGUUUUCUUGAAUAUAGUUGAGGUAGGCGGAAUGUGUAAUGUAGCGGUGAAAUGCUUAGAUAUUACACAGAACACCGAUUGCGAAGGCAGCUUACUAAGCUAUGAUUAACGCUGAGGUACGAAAGCGUGGGGAGCGAACAGGAUUAGAUACCCUGGUAGUCC
rnacentral:rRNA from 1 species